UGGGGUGUCGCCAAGCGGUAAGGCACAGGACUCUGACUCCUGCAUUCCAAGGUUCGAAUCCUUGCACCCCAGCCA
rnacentral:tRNA from 1 species